UUCUUCUUCCGACUGCAGCAAACAAUUUUCUCGUUCCUCUCACUGAUGAUCGAUAAUCAAUUGAUUUAAUUCUCUGAUGCGAUAUAGAUUGAAAGGUUCACUGCAGAUGAGACUUGCAGAGAGUACAUGAAUAAAAUCAUAUGGUUAUAGAAGGAGAGUGAUGGAUUUAACAUCCAUUAAACUACUCUCCUUUCGUAGUUUUGUGACAACCUCUUUAGGGGUAUCAAGUUAUCAACCACCAUGUUGGUGGUGUAUUUCGCAGUUCUGUAACAACCAUUUUAGGAGAAUCAACUACCAUGUAGGUGGUGUAUGCGGCUUAAUUGAAUUAGAUUGGAUUAAAUUGAAUUAAUUUUUGAUGUUAUGCAAA